rnacentral:lncRNA from 1 species
AUGCAAUUCACCUCUUCUACGGAACUCCUACCCUGAGAGAAAAAUCUAAGAAACUGAAGUAUAAAACAGAUUUUUCACACAACGAAACAUAUUUGAGAGCAGUCUCUUAUAGCUGAGAGAGCCAGGGAAGAAGCUGCUGACGUACUCCUGUAUUUGCUGUCUCACUUCACCUCUGUCCAGACCCAGUUCAGCAGAAAUGGACAUUAUUCACCAUGGUUCCUGGUGACAAGGACAACACGUGUGGCUUGCAGUCUUCAGGUCAGACAGCACUUACUGGUCAGAGUUGUGGUCAUCUCCUGAUAGGCCUGCGAGAGAGAAACACCCAGACACAAAGGAACCCAUGGGGACGUGUGUGACUGUCCUGUCCACAGUAUCUCUACUCCUUGAAAUUCUACAUGUUUGAUCCGGCCUUGGCGCCCCAUGGAGCCUCCCCGAUCAUAGCCUCUAGGGUGCUCUCUUCCAAGGUCAGACCUCUGCUCUCUUAAAGUUAUGGCUCCCUGCUGAGCUUGAGGACACAGGACAUGCUGACUCUGGCACACGGAGAGGCCCCUGCCUCCUGUAAUUAGUUAUCUGGGACCGAUGUGCUUGAGCUUCUUCAGGGCAUCUUUGUCCAGUACCUUUGUAGCUUGAAAUGUUCCUGAAGCUAUUCUGGCUUCCGUAGCUUUCAGAGCAGAAAUUAAAGAGUCGAUGGGUUGUAAACUUUGUUCCUGAUCAAAGUCUAGAGAGGCUCUGAGGCCUUCCCCUCCUUCUUCCAUGGUCCCAUAUUCUGGAAAUUCAUUUGUGACAGUCGGUGGGAGUAAAGUGCUUCCUCCAUGAUCACCUACCCUCUCCCUACAGGAGCGACAGUAGUUUACCAUGUCUGUCAAUGUCGGCGGAAGCUUUAAAAACUACAGAGCAGCACACGAACAGCGUUCAGGUCAGAGGAUGGGAUAAGAAGCAAGCCAUUAAUUGUAGAGCAAAGUCUCUGCAACAGCACAGAGAGAAGAAAGCUUGCAGCAGGAGCCCAUCUGAGAGCAACUACUUCUCAUAAUUGUACCACCAGGAGAAAGCCUGGACUUGCGAGCAAGAGUCUUACUUUCCUGGGGUAUGUAAAGGGGCUGAAUAAGAGUAGCUUACUCUCUAAAUCUGCUCCUCGUCUAACCUGGAAAGCAGACCCUGUCCCAGAGGCAGAGUUAAUUUCCGUCUUUCGUAUGUUCCAUGUCACACAUUCAACAUGUCAAGACCGUAGUGACUGCUUUCUAUGAAGAGCAGCUAGCUCCUAAUAAACAAUGGCUGGAGGCUUGAGGCUGGAG